UACGUAGGGGGCUAGCGUUGUCCGGAAUCAUUGGGCGUAAAGAGCGUGUAGGCGGCUUGGUAAGUCCGCUGUGAAAGUCCAGGGCUCAACCCUGGAAUGCCAGUGGAUACUGUCAAGCUAGAGUCCGGAAGAGGCGAGUGGAAUUCCUGGUGUAGCGGUGAAAUGCGCAGAUAUCAGGAGGAGCACCAAUGGCGAAGGCAGCUCGCUGGGACGGUACUGACGCUGAGACGCGAAAGCGUGGGGAGCAAACAGG
rnacentral:rRNA from 1 species